rnacentral:rRNA from 2 species
AUGAGCCUUUCUUAGCCUUGGAGAGAAGCUCAGGAUCCCUUUAGAAUUGCGCAGUUUAUGAUGCUUGGGGGAGAGUAGUACUAGGAUGGGUGACCUCUUGGGAAGUCCUCGUGUUGCACCUC